rnacentral:rRNA from 1 species
GAUGAACGCUGGCGGCGUGCCUAAUACAUGCAAGUCGAGCGAACGGACGAGAAGCUUGCUUCUCUGAUGUUAGCGGCGGACGGGAGAGUAACACGUGGAUAACCCACCUAUAAGACUGGGACAACUUCGGGAAACCGGAGCUAAUACCAGAUAAUAUUUUGCACCGCAUGGGUCAAAAGUGAAAGACGGUCUUUCCGUCACUUAUAGAUGGAUCCGCGCUGCAUUGGCUAGUGGGUAAGGUAACGGCUUACCAAGGAAACGAUGCAUAGCCGACCUGAGAGAGGGAUCGGCCACCUGGGAACUGGGAAAGGUGCCAGACUCCUCGGGGAGGAAGAAGUAGGAAAUCUGCCGCAGUGGGCGAAAGCCUGACGGGGCAGCGCCGCGUGGGUUGUGAAGGUCUUCGGUUCGGAAAACUCUGCUAUUAGGGAAGAACAUAUGUAUAAGUAACUGUGCAGAACGUGACGGUACCUAAUCAGGAAGCCACGGCUAACUACGUG